GUGGGGAAUAUUGGACAAUGGGCGAAAGCCUGAUCCAGCCAUGCCGCGUGUGUGAAGAAGGUCUUCGGAUUGUAAAGCACUUUAAGUUGGGAGGAAGGGCAGUAAGUUAAUACCUUGCUGUUUUGACGUUACCAACAGAAUAAGCACCGGCUAACUUCGUGCCAGCAGCCGCGGUAAUACGAAGGGUGCAAGCGUUAAUCGGAAUUACUGGGCGUAAAGCGCGCGUAGGUGGUUCAGCAAGUUGGAGGUGAAAUCCCCGGGCUCAACCUGGGAACUGCCUACAAAACUACUGAGCUAGAGUACGGUAGAGGGUAGUGGAAUUUCCUGUGUAGCGGUGAAAUGCGUAGAUAUAGGAAGGAACACCAGUGGCGAAGGCGACUACCUGGACUGAUACUGACACUGAGGUGCGAAAGCGUGGGGAGCAAACAGGAUUAGAAACCCCGGUAGUCC
rnacentral:rRNA from 1 species